CUGAUAGUCUGUGGGCCCGUAGCCUGCCUGCCUCUCUCCCUCCCUCCGUGCUGUGGAGACCUGGAGCCUCUGGAGGACACUGAACUCCUGAGGGAGCCAUUCGCAAGCCACACCAUGGCACAGUGUACCCUCCCGCAGCACGCCACCACCCCCUAACAGAGCAUGAAGACAGAAGAGUGCUGGUGGGGUGUAUUUGGGAAUCCUGUAAAAGAAGAGGAGAAGACCAUAAAUCAAUAAAUCUGUGGAAGAAAAGAAAAGGUGAG